rnacentral:snRNA from 1 species
UAUAUUAUUCUAUGUAAUAUUAUAAAGUUAGAAUGAUACAAAGAAGAUUAGCAAGUCUCCUGCGCAAGGAUGACGUGCAAAAAUUGAGAAAGGGUCCAAAUUUUG